GCUCUGGAUAAACUUCCAGCCUCAAACGGAAGGACACACUCCCACCGAGCCGCUGCCCCUGAGCCCAUUUGGCUCUGAUUGGCUGCAAGACUUGCGCCUUCAGGCUAGCCACUCAGAGGCGCCCACCAGUUCCCUCUUGCUUCUGAUUGGCUGAGAGGAGCGCAUGCUCAGACACACCAAGGGCCGCAAGCUCAGAGCUAGAACGGCCGUUAACUGCUUGGCGUCGUCAUGUGGUUUCUUUACAGACUCGUUGGUCUGUGACAGGUUUUAACCUACAGUAAUAUUUCUCCCCAAACAUUCCAAACUCUGUAAUAGUAAGCUGUGACUGCUAGACCGUGAGCUGGGAGGGAGCGAUACUGUUGGUGAUUGUCUUGAGCACAUCCCUAGCACAUAACCCACAAGAGGCCCUAGUAUGCAGAUGAGGAUGUGACAGUGAUUUUGGAGUUGCCUUCAACUUUGGGGGAACAGAAGAAACUGAAACACAAAACAAACUUAGAGAAGCUGAAAGAAGCUAAAGUAUUUAAAAACAUAUUAAAUGGGAAUCACUUCUUACCUUGAAAUGUUCUCAAAUGUCAUAGCACAAGAGAACCGCGGUGGCAUUGUGAAUAUAAGACCAAAAGAAGAUGGCAGCAACAGACCAUGGAACACGUCUGUACUGUUUUCCAGUCUCCACGGCCACCACCUGCCUCCACAGGCACCACCUAAGGAUUCUCAGAGCUGCAGGAAUGAGAGUUUUUUCAACUUUUAUCCUCAUGGUGACUCCCCAUGCAGUUUCUUGAGGGCUGUGGUAAACCAUUUCUCUGUAAUAAAAAUACCCAUGAUACUCUUUUCUCUACUGCCUCUUUGAAAUGUAAGAUGGCAGUAUUUAAAAAAAAAAGAUGGCAGUAUUAAAAUUGCUUAUAUUGAAUGUACUGUCAUUUCCAAAAUUCUUCACAUGGUCAAAUAAAAAUAUUCUCUUUGAAUAU
ensembl:lncRNA